rnacentral:rRNA from 1 species
UACCUUUGCCGGCGACCGGCGCACGGGUGAGUAACACGUAUCCAACCUGCCGAUAACUCGGGGAUAGCCUUUCGAAAGAAAGAUUAAUACCCGAUGGUAUAAUCAGACCGCAUGGUUUGAUUAUUAAAGAAUUUCGGUUAUCGAUGGGGAUGCGUUCCAUUAGGCAGUUGGUGAGGUAACGGCUCACCAAACCUUCGAUGGAUAGGGGUUCUGAGAGGAAGGUCCCCCACAUUGGAACUGAGACACGGUCCAA